rnacentral:rRNA from 1 species
GACGAACGCUGGCGGCGUGCUUAACACAUGCAAGUCGAACGGAAAGGCCUCAGCUUGCUGGGGUACUCGAGUGGCGAACGGGUGAGUAACACGUGGGUGAUCUGCCUUGCACUCUGGGAUAAGCUUGGGAAACUGGGUCUAAUACCGGAUAUGAACUCCCUUUAGUGGGGGGGUUGGAAAGUUUUUUCGGGGCAAGAUGAGCUCGCGGCCUAUCAGCUUGUUGGUGGGGGAAUGGCCUACCAAGGCGUCGACGGGUAGCCGGCCUGAGAGGGUGUACGGCCACAUUUGGACUGAGAUACGGCCCAGACUCCUACGGGAGGGAGCAGUGGGGAAUAUUGCACCAUGGGGGGAAGCCUGAUGCAGCGAAGCCGCGUGGGGGAUGACCGGCUUCGGGUUGUAAACUCCUUUCGACAGGGACGAAGCUUUUUGUGACGGUACCUGGAGAAGAAGCACCGGCUAACUACGUG